rnacentral:tRNA from 1 species
GAAGAGAUGGCUCAGUGGUUAAGAGCACUGGCUGCUCUUCCAGAGGACUUGGGUUCAAUUCCCAGUGCCCCCA